rnacentral:rRNA from 1 species
CGGCGGACGGGUGAGUAACGCGUGGGUAACCGUGCCUCAUACAGGGGAGUAACAGUUGGAAACGACUGCUAAUACCGCAUAAGCGCACAGUACCGCAUGGUACGGUGUGAAAAACUCCGGUGGUAUGAGAUGGACCCGCGUCUGAUUAGCCAGUUGGCGGGGUAACGGCCCACCAAAGCGACGAUCAGUAGCCGACCUGAGAGGGUGACCGGCCACAUUGGGACUGAGACACGGCCCAA